UUUACGCUCUACAACCCUUUGUGAACAUACCUAUAACUGUUGCUUCGGCGGGUAGGGUCUCCGUGACCCUCCCGGCCUCCCGCCCCCGGGCGGGUCGGCGCCCGCCGGAGGAUAACCAAACUCUGAUUUAACGACGUUUCUUCUGAGUGGUACAAGCAAAUAAUCAAAACUUUUAACAACGGAUCUCUUGGUUCUGGCAUCGAUGAAGAACGCAGCGAAAUGCGAUAAGUAAUGUGAAUUGCAGAAUUCAGUGAAUCAUCGAAUCUUUGAACGCACAUUGCGCCCGCCAGCAUUCUGGCGGGCAUGCCUGUUCGAGCGUCAUUUCAACCCUCAAGCUCUGCUUGGUGUUGGGGCCCUACAGCUGAUGUAGGCCCUCAAAGGUAGUGGCGGACCCUCCCGGAGCCUCCUUUGCGUAGUAACCUUACGUCUCGCACUGGGAUCCGGAGGGACUCUUGCCGUAAAACCCCCCAAUUUUCCAAAGGUUGACCUCGGAUCAGGUAGGAAUACCCGCUGAACUUAAGCAUAUCAAUAAGCGGAGGAAG
rnacentral:rRNA from 1 species